rnacentral:rRNA from 1 species
CCUACGGGAGGCAGCAGUAGGGAAUAUUGGGCAAUGGAGGCAACUCUGACCCAGCCAUGCCGCGUGCAGGAAGACGGUCCUCUGGAUUGUAAACUGCUUUUGAAUGGGAAGAAUGUGCUCCUUGCGAGGGGUAAUGACGGUACCAUUAGAAUAAGCCACGGCUAACUACGUGCCAGCAGCCGCGGUAAUACGUAGGUGGCGAGCGUUAUCCGGAUUUAUUGGGUUUAAAGGGUGCGUAGGCGGCUUAAUAAGUCGGUGGUUAAAAGUAGCAGCUUAACUGUUUUACAUGCCAUCGAUACUGUUGAGCUUGAGAUAUUUGGAGGCAGCUAGAAUUUCCGGUGUAGCGGUGAAAUGCAUAGAUACCGGAAGGAAUACCAAUUGCGAAGGCAGGUUGCUACGAAUAAACUGACGCUGAUGCACGAAAGCGUGGGGAUCAAACAGGAUUAGAUACCCUGGUAGUCCACGCCGUAAACGAUGAUUACUAGUUGUUGGGGUUUAAGCCUCAGUGACCAAGGGAAACCGAUAAGUAAUCCACCUGGGGAGUACGCCGGCAACGGUGAAACUUAAGGAAUUGACGG